rnacentral:rRNA from 1 species
CAGUAGCCACGGUAAUACGUAGGUGGCAAGCGUUGUCCGGAAUUAUUGGGCGUAAAGGGCUCGCAGGCGGUUUCUUAAGUCUGAUGUGAAAGCCCCCGGCUCAACCGGGGAGGGUCAUUGGAAACUGGGAAACUUGAGUGCAGAAGAGGAGAGUGGAAUUCCACGUGUAGCGGCGAAAUGCGUAGAGAUGUGGAGGAACACCAGUGGCGAAGGCGACCCUCUGGUCUGUAACUGACGCUGAGGAGCGAAAGCGUGGGGAGCGAACAGGAUUAGAUACCCCGGUAGUCCCUGUCUCUUUACA